rnacentral:rRNA from 1 species
GAUGAACGCUGGCGGCGUGCCUAAUACAUGCAAGUCGAGCGAACGGACGGGAAGCUUGCUUCUCUGAUGUUAGCGGCGGACGGGUGAGUAACACGUGGAUAACCUACCUAUAAGACUGGGAUAACUUCGGGAAACCGUAGCUAAUACCGGAUAAUAUUUUGAACCGCAUGGUUCAAAAGUUAAAGACGGUCUUGCUGUCACUUAUAGAUGGAUCCGCGCUGCAUUAGCUAGUUGGUAAGGUAACGGCUUACCAAGGCAACGAUGCAUAGCCGACCUGAGAGGGGGAUAGGCCACACGGGAGCUGAGACACGGUCAAGACGCCUAAGAGAGGCAGCAGUAGGGAAUCUGACGCAGUGGGCGAAAGCAUGACGGAGCAACGGCGAGUGAGUGAUGAAGGUGUUCGGAUCGUAAAAAUGUGUUAUAAGGGAAGAACAUAUGUGUAAGGAGCUGUGGACAUCUUGACGGUACCUAAACAGGAAGCCACGGCUAACUACGUG